CGACUCAAACAACGCCGACUCGCUUCACCAGACAACGCGGAGAUGUCGUGGUCUCAUCCAAACGGAUUUAUCGCACAGCAUUGAGUUAAAGUGACCACAGAAUAAAGUAAGCAAGUGUCAGAGGCAGAGGAGACACAUCAACCAGCAAGUGUG